GUAGAGGAUGCUUCUAGGCAGCGGCCGGUCUAAGUUUCUUGGAACAGGACGUCAUAGAGGGUGAGAAUCCCGUAUGUGACCGGUUGGCACCUUGCACGUAGCUCCUUCGACGAGUCGAGUUGUUUGGGAAUGCAGCUCUAAAUGGGAGGUAAAUUUCUUCUAAAGCUAAAUACCGGCCAGAGACCGAUAGCGCACAAGUAGAGUGAUCGAAAGAUGAAAAGCACUUUGGAAAGAGAGUUAAAAAGCACGUGAAAUUGUUAAAAGGGAAGCGCUUGCAACCAGACUUGUCGGCGGUGUUCCGCCGGUCUUCUGACCGGUCUAUUCGCCGCCUGCAGGCCAGCGUCGUCUGGGGCCGCCGGAUAAAGGCUUUGGGAAUGUAGCUCCUCGGAGUGUUAUAGCCCAUUGCACAAUACGGCGCGCGCCGGGCGAGGUCCGCGCUUCGGCAAGGACGCUGGCGUAAUGGUCGUAAGCGGCCCGUCUUGAAACACGGACCAAGGAGUCGAUCAAUCGUGCGAGUGUUCGGGUGGAAAACCCUUGCGCGCAAUGAAAGUGAACGGAGGCGAGAACCGCAAGGUGCAUCGUCGACCGAUCCUGAUGUCUUCGGAUGGAUUUGAGUAAGAGCAUGGCUGAUCGGACCCGAAAGAUGGUGAACUAUGCCUAAAUAGAAUGAAACCAGGGGAAACGCUGGCGGAAGUUCGCAGCGGUUCUGACGUGCAAAUCGAUCGUCAAAUUUGGGUAUAGGGGCGAAAGACUAAUCGAACCAU
rnacentral:rRNA from 1 species